rnacentral:rRNA from 1 species
AUGAACGCUGACAGAAUGCUUAACACAUGCAAGUCUACUUGAAUUUGGGUCUUUGACUUAGAUUUGGGUGGCGGACGGGUGAGUAACGCGUAAAGAACUUGCCUCACAGUUAGGGACAACAUUUGGAAACGAAUGCUAAUACCUGAUAUUAUGAUUAUACGGCAUCGUAUAAUUAUGAAAGCUAUAUGCGCUGUGAGAGAGCUUUGCGUCCCAUUAGCUAGUUGGAGAGGUAACGGCUCACCAAGGCGAUGAUGGGUAGCCGGCCUGAGAGGGUGAACGGCCACAAGGGGACUGAGACACGGCCCUUACUCCUACGGGAGGCAGCAGUGGGGAAUAUUGGACAAUGGACCAAAAGUCUGAUCCAGCAAUUCUGUGUGCACGAUGACGUUUUUCGGAAUGUAAAGUGCUUUCAGUUGGGAAGAAAAAAAUGACGGUACCAACAGAAGAAGUGACGGCUAAAUACGUGCCAGCAGCCGCGGUAAUACGUAUGUCACAAGCGUUAUCCGGAUUUAUUGGGCGUAAAGCGCGUCUAGGUGGUUAUGUAAGUCUGAUGUGAAAAUGCAGGGCUCAACUCUGUAUUGCGUUAGAAACUGUGUAACUAGAGUACUGGAGAGGUAAGCGGAACUACUGUGUAGAGGUGAAAUUCGUAGAUAUUUGUAGGAAUGCCGAUGGGGAAGCCAGCUUACUGGACAGAUACUGACGCUAAAGCGCGAAAGCGUGGGUAGCAAACAGG